rnacentral:rRNA from 1 species
GAUGAACGCUGGCGGCGUGCCUAAUACAUGCAAGUCGAGCGAACAGACGAGGAGCUUGCUCCACUGACGUUAGCCGCGGACGGGUGAGUAACACGUGGAUAACCUACCUGUAAAACUGGGAUAAAUUCGGGAAACCGGAGCUAAUACCGGAUAAUAUAUUGAACCGCAUGGUUGGAUAGUGAAAGACGGUUUUGCUGUCACUAAUAGAUGGAUCCGCGCCGCAUUAGCUAGUUGGUAAGGUAACGGCUUACCAAGGCAACGAUGCGUAGCCGACCUGAGAGGGUGAUCGGCCACACUGGAACUGAGACACGGUCCAGACUCCUACGGGAGGCAGCAGUAGGGAAUCUUCCGCAAUGGGCGAAAGCCUGACGGAGCAACGCCGCGUGAGUGAUGAAGGUCUUCGGAUCGUAAAACUCUGUUAUUAGGGAAGAACAAAUGUGUAAGUAACUAUGCACGUCUUGACGGUACCUAAUCAGAAAGCCACGGCUAACUACGUG